CCAAUUUUUUUUUUUAAGUCAAACUAAUAGCUGCGCUAAAACUGAUUACAGUCCCGCUUUUUUCUAUUUCUUCAAAAAAAACAAAACAAAAAAAGCGAAGAAGAUAGCUCCAACUCCCUUUACGUUUUAUUAAAAUCAAAAUUCCCCUUUUUUUUUUUCACUUCGCAAUUUAUUUCCGAUUUUUCGGCUGCGAUUUUCUCGAUUAUUUAGAGCUUUUACUUUAAUCGCAUUGUUCUUAGAUUUUCCGAUCUGGUACCGAAUGCAUUUUAAGUUUUUUUUUUUAGUAUUGGAUUUUAGCUUUUUCUUUUUAUUUUUGAUUAUGUUUUUUAUUGAUGAAUGAAUCGCAGCCGCCUUAGAUAAAUGGAGAAAGUGGUUUUAGAGCAAAAGGAUGCAGUUGAUUGGGUGUAUAGAGGAGAAGGAGCUGCUAAUCUUGUUCUCGCUUACACUGGAUCAUCUCCCGCAUUUAUCGGGAAAGUGAUGCGAAUACAAAAGUCACAACGGAACGACAAAAAUGGAGUGAACGGAAACGGAACUUUAACAACGCAUGAGCAGCUUCUCUGGCGAGAAGAUAUGGAGCUUACGGCGUCGCCAAACAGAGAGAUUGUUGAGCAACUUUACGUUAAGCAUGUCAUGAGCCCGUUGUUGGGCCCAAAACAUGUUGAUGCUGGGAUACGUGUUCUUGUAACUAAGGAAUUCCUUGAGUCCGCUGAUAAGAAUGUGAUUUGUCAACGGCCUGCUUGGCGCGUGGAUUCAUCACAGGUUGAUGCAAAUCGUGAUUCUGCGCUGAUCAUGUCGGAUCACUCAGUCUUUCCAAACGGUACUCUGAAAGGUGGACCAUGUAUAACGGUUGAGAUAAAGCCCAAAUGUGGAUUUCUCCCAAUUUCAAGAUUCAUAGCUGAAGAAAAUGCUCUUAAAAGAAUCGUAACUAGGUUCAGAAUGCACCAAGUACUGAAGUUGCAUAAACAAGAGAUAUCAGAAUAUAGUGAAUAUAAUCCACUGGAUCUAUUCUCUGGAUCCAGAGACAGGAUCUGUAAAGCUAUCAAAGCUCUAUAUGCCACUCCUCAGAACAAUUUCCGUGUUUUUUUGAAUGGUUCUCUUGUAUUUGGGGGCUCAGGUGGUGGCACAGACAACACCACUGUUCUGGUUGGUGAGGCCUUUGAAGGUGCACUUAAGAGUGUCAUUCAGGCAGAUAAUGGCCUGCGCACAACUAGUUUUAUACAGCUUGUUGCUGACACGGUUUAUACUUGUGGAGUAUUAGAUCAACUUCUUGAAGUUCAGAAGCUUGAUGCUUAUGACAUUGAAGGGGCGAUUCAUGCUUAUUAUAACAUAAUUUCUCAACCUUGUGUGGUUUGUAGAGAAUUAAGUGAUGACAAAUUAUCACACCAGUAUACCUCCUUGCACUCCAUUCCGUUGGAUGAAAGCUUGAAGAUUGUGAAGGACUAUUUGAUAGCUGCAACUGCAAAAGACUGCAGUUUGAUGAUUAGUUUUAGACCAAAGGAAGAUGGAGAGUUACAAUCAGGAUCCUCUAAAAUUUCUUUAUAUCUAGGAUCAACUAAUCAAGUUUUUGAGUACAAGGUAUGUUUCAUUGAUCUGGAUUUGAAACCUUUGAAGAAAAUGGAGUACUAUUACAACCUAGAUAAGAAGAUAGUUAGCUGCUAUUCUCAGAAGGUGAAAACUGAGCAUUGAGCAGAUAAAGCUGCUAGAAUGGAUUCCUAUGGAAGUGUAUCGAGAUGAAAGAUAUGCCUCCGAAGACAAUUUGUUUAUUGAAGAUUCUACUGAGGGAGGACUGGUUAACAUCUCACCAUUUACCGGUGGGAGCUUAACUGGAGAGAAAAAGAGAAAAUAACAGAGCAUAAGGGUUAGGGCUAACAGGGAAAACGAUGUGCCAACUACUCACUGCCAUUAUAUCUUGAGCCCACAUUCCCAAUUAAUUCAUACAGCUGGAUGUUGAAUUUACUGUUUCUAGUGGGAACUUUGUUGGUAUCUUGUGGUGAUGUUGAAGGUAUUAGCUGACUUUCUUAAAUGUACUCUUGCUUAAAGGCUUAUCGAAAAGCAGAAUUUGUGUGAAAACCUAUCUAAUCAAUUCCCCUCUUUAUUUCCUUCUUAAGCCUGACUAUUUUGUGUAAUGUUUGGUUGUGAGGGAAUCUAACAUAAUAAACUUCUUACAACAACUACUUGAAGAUAUGAAGGGGACCUUGAUUUUCAGAUAACAUUAAUGUUCGUAGUCAUUUUUCUUUAACAAAGUGGUGCUUCUUUCUAGACAGCACGAAGCACUGUUGUUUUUGAAUUUUGAACUAAUCUUCUGUGCAAGGUUAAUUAGCAUGGUCUAUGGUCUCCUCAGCCAUAAGCCUGUAAGCAUAAAAGCAUUUGAUUUGAAGAUAUGAAAGCUCUAGGAUGUUUUGGGGCCUAGCAUAUGUGCCAAAUUAGUGCAAUUCUGUCUCCUGUUCCUUUGAAGUUUCCUGCGUAGUGAAGUUAUUCCCCUU